GAAAGAAAUUGCAGAGUUAAAAGUAUGUUAAAACCUUGCAUUCAUGUCCCCAUUUAUACAUGGCAAUCCCAUUGUCUACUCUAAUUCAAUUAAGUUACUGGAGAGUGUUCAUCAGACAUAGUUACACUGAAUUCUAAACAGCCAACACUUAUGUAUAUGUUUUGCAUACUAAUUUUGAAUACUAAUCACAAUCCCUUGAGUGUCACUGCCCUAAAAAAACAAUGAAUCAUUUCAACAAAACAAUCAACAGCUUCCCAAACCAGACACAUGCUGACAUUAAACAUAUUACAAUUGCUAGUCUAUUUACUAAGACUGCUUUACUUGGCACCCAGGCAGAAAUUAG